rnacentral:rRNA from 1 species
UAGAGUUUGAUCCUGGCUCAGGAUGAACGCUGGCGGCGUGCUUAACACAUGCAAGUCGAACGAUGAUCUCCAGCUUGCUGGGGGGAUUAGUGGCGAACGGGUGAGUAACACGUGAGUAACCUGCCCUUGACUCUGGGAUAAGCCUGGGAAACCGGGUCUAAUACUGGAUACGACCUUCCCGCGCAUGCGGUGUUGGUGGAAAGCUUUUGCGGUUUUGGAUGGACUCGCGGCCUAUCAGCUUGUUGGUGGGGUAAUGGCCUACCAAGGCGACGACGGGUAGCCGGCCUGAGAGGGUGACCGGCCACACUGGGACUGAGACACGGCCCAGACUCCUACGGGACGCAGCA